UGCUCACCAGUGAUGUUAUAAAAUAAAUGUCUGAACAAAUGAGAUCCUGUGAUAUUAACUUAUUAUCCUGAGGGGAGCA